CUGUUGAAGGAAGAAGAAAGCAACAAAAGACUGGAAGCUGAAAUUGAAUCAUCAGUCUAGACUGACUGCUGCUAUAAGUAAACACAGUGAAAGUGUGAAAACAGAAAGAAACCUAAAACUUGCAUUAGAGUGAACACAAGACGUUUCCGUACAAGUAAAAAUGAGUUCUGAUAUUUCCGAAGUAGAAGAUAAGAAUGAGUUUCUUACUGAACAACUUUCUAAAAUGCAAAUUAAACUCAAUACCUUAAAAGAUAAGUUCCGUAAGAAAAGAGAUACUCUCAGAAAAAAGUCAUCGGCUUUAGAAACUCUCCAAACGACCUAAGCCAAACACAGCAGCAAAUAAAGGAAAUGAAAGAGAUGUAUGAAAAUGCAGAAGAUAAAGUGAAUAAUUCCACUGGAAAGUGGAGCUGUGUAGAAGAGAGGAUAUGUCAUCUCCAACAUGAAAAUCCGUGCAUUGAACAGCAACUAGAUGAUGUUCAUCAGAAAGAGGAUCAUAAAGAGAUAGUAACUAAUAUCCAAAGAGGCUUUAUUGAGAGUGGAAAGAAAGACCUCAUGCUAGAAGAGAAAAAUAAGAAGCUAAUGAAUGAAUGUGAUCAUUUAAAAGAAAGUCUCUUUCAAUAUGAGAGAGAGAAAGCAGAAAGAGUAGUGGUUGUGAGACAACUUCAACAAGAAGCGGCUGACAGCCUAAAAAAAUUAACUAUGUUAGAGUCUCCACUGGAAGGCAUAUCACAUUAUCACAUUAAUUUGGAUGAGACACAGGUCCCAAAAAAGAAAUUAUUUCAAGUGGAAAGUCAAUUUGAUGAUCUUAUGGUGGAGAAGGAAGCUGUAUCUUCAAAAUGUGUCAAUUUGGCUAAAGAGAAUCAAGUUUUUCAACAGAAGUUAUUAUCUAUGAAAAAAGUACAACAGGAAUGUGAAAAACUUGAGGAGGAUAAAAAGAUGUUGGAAGAAGAAAUAUUAAAUCUUAAGACACAUAUGGAAAACAGUAUGGUAGAACUUAGUAAACUACAAGAAUAUAAAUCAGAGCUAGAUGAAAGGGCAAUGCAGGCAGUAGAAAAAUUAGAAGAAAUCCAUUUACAGGAACAAGCACAAUAUAAAAAACAAUUAGAGCAGUUAAACAAGGAUAUAAUACAGCUUCACUAAAUAAGAAGGAACUCACACUUAAAGAUGUGGAAUGUAAAUUCUACAAAAUGAAAACUGCUUAUGAAGAGGUUACAACUGAGUUAGAAGAAUAUAAGGAAGGCUUUGCAGCAGCAUUGAAAGCUAACAGUUCCAUGUCAAAAAAAUUAACUAAAUCGAAUAAGAAAAUAGCAAUGAUCAGUAUCAGCUCUUUAUGGAGAAAGAGCAGGUGAAAUAUUUUCUCAGCACUCUUCCUACAAGGCGAGGUCGAGAGUCACCUUGUGUUGAAAAUCUUACUAGUAUAGGACUCAACAGAAAAUAUAUUCCCCAAAUGCCCGUAAGAAUUCCUACUUCAAACCUCAGACUUCAAAUAACUGCCAGAACUACUUGACUGAUGUUAGUUAUAUGACCGUUUCUCUUUAGGGUUUCAUUUGUCUAGCGUAAUUCUUGUUUAUAAUUUGGUGAAACACUGAGUUGUUCUGUUGACUUUUGCAUGUGAAGUAAAGAUCAUAAUUAGCUGUGUUAACACAGAAAGGAAAUGGGAACUUUACAUUUUUUAAUUCCCUGGAGCUCUCAUUUUCAAGAGAUAUCCAUUUGCUAACUUUAUUCAAUAAAUGUGACUAAACUG